GUUGUUGUUGUUGUUGCUAUUUCUUGGGCCGCUCCCGCGGCAUAUGGAGGUUCCCAGGCUAGGGGUCGACUCAGAGCUGUAGCCACCGGACUACGCCAGAGCCACACCAACGCGGGAUCCGAGCCGCGUCUGCAACCUACACCACAGCUCAUGGCAACGCCGGAUCGUUAACCCACUGAGCAAGGGCAGGGACCGAACCCGCAACCUCAUGGUUCCUAGUCGGAUUCGUUAACCACUGCGCCAUGACGGGAACUCUCCGGGCAAAAUUUUUAAAGACACAAAUUUCUAAAGCUCACUCCCAAAGAAACAGAUAGCUUGAAUAACUUUUUAUCUAUUAAAGAAAUGGAAUUUAUGGGUUAAAUCCUACCCACAAAGAACACUCCAGGUCCGUAUGGUAUCACUGAUGAGUUUUGCCAAUCAUUUGAGGAAAAAAUAGCACAAACACAACAAACUCUUCCAUUAAACUGAAGAGAAGAAAACACCAACUCAUUCCAUGAGGCCAGCAUUUCUGGGCACCAAACCAGACGGAGAUGAUACAAGACAAGGAAACGCUCUCAAAAACAUGGAAGCAAAACACAUGCAAACUGAAUCCAACAAUGAUUUAAAAGGACAACAUGUCAUGACCAGGUGGCGUUUAUUCCAGGGACGCAAAGUUGGUUUAACACUUGAGAAUUAACUCACGCAUUAAUGAAUGGAAAAGAAAAACCAUACGAUUGUCUCAAAGGAUGCAGAAAAACUAUGUGACAAAAUCCAAUAUCCACUCUUAAAUUUUAAAAAAAAUUCACAGAAAAUUAGACACUGAAAGGAACUUCGUCUUGAUAAAAAGAUCUGUGAAGAUCCUACACACGAUGCUUAACGGUGCAAGACCGACUUAGUUCUUCCUAGGGUCAGGAACAAGACAAGGACGUCCACUACCACCGUCACUGGUGGACCCUGUAGCGGAGGUUGCUAGACAGUCAAAAAGUCAAAAAAUCAAAAAAAAAAAAAAAAAAAAAGGAGGAAGCACCCAGAUUUGAAAGGAGAAAGCAAAAAUGUAUAAACUUCCAAACAGCAUGGUCAUCUAUGUAAAAACUACUGAAUCUACCACAAAAGCUCUGAAACUAACAAUUUAGUUAAAAUUGAGGAUAAAAGAUAAACACACAAAAGUCAAAGCUUUAAACAAUCAGAAAUUAAAUUAGAAACAUUUACAAUAACAUGAAAAAUGUAAAAUAUUUAGGGAUGAACUCAAAACUAAAUCACAGUCCAAAAUAUAAAACUUAAAUAUAUAAAGCUUCUGGAAGGCAGUCUCUGAAAGAGCAGAGUUUUCAUUCUUUUAAAUAGAACAGAAAAACAAGUCACAAACUGAAAGUAAAUCACAUAUCUGAUAAAGGACCUCUAUCUAGAAUUUUUAAAGAAGACUUAAAAUUCAACAAAUAAUAAUUGGGAAAGCAAACACCCCAAGUAAAAGAAAAAAAAGAUAGGAAAGUUUAAACAGACACCUCACUACAGAAUAUAUUUGGGAAUUCCAGCUGUGGUGCAGUGGGUUCAGAAUACAGUGUUGCCAUAACUGUGGUAUAGGUCACAGGUCACAGCUGCAGCUCAGAUUCAAUCCCUGGCCUGGAAACUUCCAUAUGCCUCGGGUUCACUGUACACCUGUGAGGAUGGCUAAAAUUAAAAAGAUGAACCACAACAAGUGUUGGCGAGGGUGCAGAACAACUGAACACUCUUCCAUGGCUGGGGGGAAGGGGAAAUGGUAAAUCACUUUCCAAAACUAUCCGUUUCUUAAAAAGUUAAACAAAUACCCGUCAUGUGGCCCAAUCAUUUUGCUCAAUAUUUCACCAAGAGAAAUGAAAGCUUACGUGCAUACAAUAACUUGAACACAAACAUUCAAAGACACUUGCUGCUAACCAUCACUAACUGGAAAUAAGCCAAAUGUCCACCAACAGGUGAAAGAUCAGCGGCAUAUCUAGAUGAUAGAAUACUACUGAGCAAGAAAAAAGGGAUGAACUAUUGAUACCUGCAACAAUGAAGAUGAGUCUGAAAAUAAAUCUGCUGGGGUUAGGGUUAGGGUUAGACGCCAGAUGGAAAAGUGUACAUACUGUACAAUUUUUUACGUAAAAUUCCAGAAAAUGCAAGUGAGUCUACUGUGACAGAAAGCCAGUCGGUGGUUUUGCCUAGGGACAGGGAAGAGGUUGGGACGGGCACACUCAGGAGGAAGGAACUGCCAAAGGGCACGAGGAAAUGCGUUUGAGCGCUGGGUGGGUUCCGAACUCCAUCGCGGUGGUGGCGUCCCAGGUACGUACGUAUCUCACAGAUAGAGCAGAACGUACCUGUGCGGUUUAUGGCAUUUCCAUCGUGCGUCAAUAAAGCUGUCAACAAAAUCAAAUGAUUGGUUUGAUCAAUACCCAGCAGUGUCUCUUGAGAAAGCAGCAAGUACUCGACUCCCAUCUAUUGAGUGGAUACAAAAGGAAUGGUCUACCUUGAAAUCAUCCCAACAGAUGCGGGGAGAGAAGGGAAAACGCACAGUUCAUUUCCCAGCACACCUCGUGUCCCACCCUCCCACUCCACCCCACCUCCACACUCCAUCCCGGUUUAUCCCAACAAGAGGGGCCACCUGCCAUCUAAGGCGCCCGCUGCCCCGGGUCCACCUGGUCUUCGUAGAUUUGAACUGCCUCCUUCACCACUGCCAUUUCAGGGUCGGUAACGCAGUGCCUGACAACUCUUCCCAGUUUGGGAAAAUAUUAUCCAAAUCGUUUCUUACCUGUUUUCUGUUUCUGUCUCAGAGUAAAUUUUCUGCUUUAGUAACCAGGCUUGGCCAGGCACCCUCCACUGCCCAACAAUGCCUUCUGCCUUCUGCAGUUAUGAGCAGGUGUGUGUGAAGGCAUUUUUUUAAACCCAGUCUCUCUGUAACGGGAGGUGCUGUGACCACUGGGAGCCAAUAGCAGAAGGGGUGAGUGGGAAUUAUGGGGAAGGGGACCGAGGUCCAAGCUAACAGAUCAGGGGACCUGAAAGGCUCUGUCCAGUGGGAGUCACCUGAAGCAGUGAGUCCACACCCAAUGCAUACCCUCCCCGGGGGACCUAGAAAAGCUGGGAUCAAACUCUGACAACUGCAUGAACGCUACAAACUCUCUUCUCCAAACACACAAACUACGCAGCAACGGUUUCUGGAAGUUCACACACUUCUUGAAAUGUAUCCACGGGCUGCUGACUUGGAACCCAAAACUCCUUAAGUGCCGCCAAUUAAAGAUCUGAUGUAAAUGAAAACUAAAGAAUUUUUUGCCUCACCCAGAUUUUUGAAACCAGUGCUGCUCCUUAAGGACAAGCAGGAGGACCAGUGCGGUCAGUACUCUGUGUAGGCGCCCUGGUGUGUGCAGCUGCCUUGAAGUCACUGGGCACCUGAGUGGCCAGCUGACCAGGGAGUGCCUGGUAACUAGUUCCAACAGGAGUGAGGUGCGAGGACUUUACCAUUAAAAUGUUAAUUCUCUCUGUAGGAGAAGGUCCCUUUCCCUGAUUUUAACAUAUUAAUGCUCACUAAUUCCACCUUCAAACUUAGGACCCCAAAGACUCUACCAGCAGCGCCUUUUCUUUCUCCCACAAGGGAAGGCGAGGAGAAACAGGUGCGGACUCUGGGCGCCAAGCCCACCAAGCAAAAUGACCACCUCUGUUGGGGCGGAGGCGGGAGGGGGUGGGGGGGGGCUCGCUGUCCCUUUCAUCUUCACGUUGGGGGCGGGGCUUCCGGAGCAGGGCUCCCCAGGGUGCGGGGUGCAGGCCCCUUCCCGCGGUGCAGGGCUCGCUGCCUGCUUCGGUCCCGUGAGUGGUCUGCUGUGCUUUGGUUUUGCUUGUUUGUGUGGUUUUUGCCUGUGACUUUGCGAAAUAUUCUCGGACCGAGAGACAGAAAGUCUUGGUCUCCGAGAACAAGCAAAAUAUUGCUUUCAGUUUAAAUAUCUACUGGGAAACCUCAAGUUUUUCAACGUCAUCAUUCUAGAAAACAGAUUACAAAAGCAAAGAAUUUAAUCUCGCUCCCUGGACCCCCGACUCGGUUUGACUUCAAUUUAUAUUUUCUUCGGUGGGUUUUAAGUCUUAGAAAGUAUGUCCUAGAAUGAAGACACCAAAGAGGAUGCGGUAAAUUUGGGAGGGGCAGCGGGAUGGAAAGAGGUUUAAAUUCGCUAAGUGGCCAGCUGUACCUGUCCGGUUGCUACCUCUUCGCUUUCACACCGUCCGGGUGGAAGAACCUUUCGGCCGACUGGGGGAAACUCGCGGGCGAGGCAGCCAGCGGGUGGAGUCCCGUGUCCCCACCACCGGCUUCCCCUCCGCGCUUU
rnacentral:lncRNA from 1 species